AUCCUUUUGUAGUUCAUAAGCGUGAUGAUUGGGUGUUCACGCCAUUGUGUGACAUGUGCCACCCUUAAACCUUGUUACAACGUCGGCACAUUACCCGUCUGACG
rnacentral:snoRNA from 1 species